rnacentral:rRNA from 1 species
AAAGUGGCGCACGGGUGAGUAACACGUGGGUAACCUACCUCUAAGAUUGGGAUAACCUGUCGAAAGACGAGCUAAUACCGGAUAAGACCACAGUUUCUUCGGAAACAGGGGUCAAAGGAUGGCCUCUGCUUGCAAGCUAUCGCUUAGAGAUGGGCCUGCGCACCAUUAGCUAGUUGGUAGGGUAAAAGCCUACCAAGGCAAAGAUGGUUAGUUGGUCUGAGAGGAUGAUCAGCCACACUGGGACUGAGACACGGCCCAGACUCCUACGGGAGGCAGCAGUGGGGAAUCUUGCGCAAUGGGCGAAAGCUUGACGCAGCAACGCCGCGUGGGUGAUGAAGGCCUUCGGGUCGUAAAGCCCUGUCGGAGGGAACGAAUCUUCCUUGGGUGAACAAUCCAGGGAAUUGACGGUACCCUCAGAGGAAGCACCGGCUAACUCUGUGCCAGCAGCCGCGGUAA